rnacentral:rRNA from 1 species
GACGAACGCUGGCGGCGUGCUUAACACAUGCAAGUCGAACGGACAGGCCCUGCUUUUGUGGUGUGCUUGAGUGGCGAACGGGUGAGUAACACGCGAGUAACCCGCCCCUGACUUUGGGAUAACUCCAGGAAACUCGGGCUAAUACCCGAUAGGAUCUUCUGCUCCAUGGUGGGGGUUGGAAAGUUUCGGCGGUUGGGGAUGGAAUCGCGGCUUAUCAGCUUGUUUGUGGGGUAGUGGCUUACCAAGGUUUUGACGGGUAGCCGGCCUGAGAAGGUGACCGGCCACAUUAGGACUGAGGUACGGAGCAGACUGGUACGGGAGGCAGCAGUGGGGAGUAUUGCGCAGUGGGCGGAAGCGUGAUGCAGCAGCGCCGCGAGCGUGAUGCCGGGCUUCGGGUUAUAAACCGCUUUCGCCUGUGACGAAGCGUGAGUGACGGUAAUGAGUAAAGAAGCACCGGCUAACUACGUG